ensembl:lncRNA
GGAAGAAUAACAAAAUAUAGAUGAUUCAAGUAUUAAAAUCAAAAGGAAACAUAGAUAAAGGAGGAAAGAAAAAAAUCGUGUGAUACUUCAGUAUUCUCACACAGAAGAGAAAUAGAUGGGUUGUCCAAGUAAGGCAUGGAUUACAGAAAUAGAUGAAUGGAGCCUUCCAUUAAUGUUGAUGUCACUGAGAAAUACUCUCAAACCUACACGAUGAACAAGUUGACUACUUAGUGUCCUCAUUGGAAAGCUUUUUAAUUUAAGAGGUUUGAAGUUAAAACAUAAUUCUCAUACUAUGCAUUUCCUACUACAAUUUAUCAUUUAUCAAUAUUCAAUUACCACAUGACCUUUAAGGGAAUCCAUGCAUCAGAGCUAUACUUUAUCACUCAGAAACCUUAAAAUUAAUAACAAAACUUGGGUUUUGAAUUUAAUUAAAUUAUAUAAUUUGUGGGUUUUGAUUCUGCUUAGGGAAUAAUGUUUGAAACCCCGUGAAUAUGUAUGUAUGUAUGUAUGUAUGUAUGUAUGUAUGUAUGUAUUUGGGAUUGGGGACCAAACUAAGGAAAUCCAGACAAGCAUUCUAGUAUUAAGCUACCCCAUGGUUCUAUACUCCACAAUUCUAAAAAUUAAGAUUAUUCUAUUCUUAGCACUUUUACUGAGUUUCUGAAUGACUUACUUUUACUCAAAUAUUUUCCCCAGUUGUCCAAAAAAUUGUGAAAGAGAAAGGCAAUAAUUCUUGUAAAGGGCUGGGGAUGUAGCUCAGUGGCAUUGUGUCUGCCUGGCAAGCACAAGGUCCUGAGUUCAAUUCCCAGUACCGAAAAAAAAAAAAUCCUUUGGGCCGGGGAUUUAGCUCAGUGGUAUCGCAGCCUGCUGCGCAAGCACAAGGGCUGAAGUUCGAUCCCUGGUACCAAAAAAUAAAAAUAAUAAUAAUAAUAAUAAUAAUAAUAAUUCUUGUAAAGGUCAACUUCAAUGAUACAAAAAUUCUAUAGUAAAUCAAUCUUAUACAAAUACAAACUGCACAGUGUUGUUUGAUUUGCCAGAAUUUAUAGGAACUUUUAUCUGACACAUGGGUUUUUUUGUUUUGUUUUGUUUUUGGUACCAUGGAUCAUAUUUGGGACCUUGCACUUGCAAGGCAGAUGCCAAGACCAUUGGGCUAAAUCCUUGGCCCUGGCACAUGUGUUUUAUACUGGGGAUUGAACCCAGGGCUUUUUCACUGAGCUACAUCCUAGCUUUUAAAAUUUUAAUUUAUAUUCUAUUUUUCAUUAAGUAGCCAAAUUGCUUAGCUCAAACUUAUUCUCCUACCUCAAUGUCCCAGAGUGCUAGAGUUACAGGUGUGUACCACUAUGCUUGACUUGAGGUGGAUUUUUUUUUCAUGAAUUCAAUUUCUUCUCCUCGUAUGCAUUUUGUCUUUCUCAACUCUUCAUUUUUCAUAUAGUCUAAAUUUAAAUGCUGAAACAGUUCUCUUUUGCAUGAUCAUUUGCUGUCUUUAAAUCAAGAGCUCAAGUCAUCCUGAGUUUAUGAGCUUCUUGUGAUUGUCAAGUAUUUAGUUCCGACUACAAAACAUUAUCAGUUAAUUUCAGAAAGGAAAUUAAACAGGUCAGUUACCUUCCACCUCUCCUGCCAAUUCACAUAAACAUAAAAGUCAUCUUUUACAUUUUUUUAAUGAACACUAUUUAUCUAAAUAAAAUCAACUUGAAGCCAGUUUUCCCUCCUUUGCUUUGUUCUGUGUUGUAUGAAAUUGUGAAUCACCACCAGCAGUUAUUCCCAUAUUAAUCCAAACACCUUGUUGUAAACAGUUUUGUGAUGUUUAAUAUUGAAAAUAUUUUAAGUUCACUCAUUUAGAAGUAUGGCAAUCCCCUUCCAUCUGUGGUUUCACUUUCUAUGGUUUCAAUUACCUGUGGUUGACUGGAAAAAAAUAAAUGGAAAAUUCCAGAAACAAUAAAUGUCUUCUGCAAAAUGCUGUCCUGCUUUUCCCCACUGUACCUAAUCUAUAAAUUAUCUUUAUUAAAGAUAUGCAUAUAAAGGAAAAACAAAAUAUAUGUGGGCUAGAAUACUAUUCAUGAUUUCAAGCAUCUGGCCAUUGGUGGGCCUUAGAAUAUAUUUCUGUAGGAUAAAAGAGGUCUUCCCUAUUGGGUUGAUGGUGGUUCAUGAUGAAAUGUAAACAAAAGGACGGGAUCACAUUUAAAAAUUGAUGAGCACUAAUUAGUUAAUAGAUAUUCAUAGCUAGGACAGAUAUUACCUUUUAUAUUUUUAAUAACUUAAAAGGACAAUUCAUUCAAUCUUAUUUUGGGAAGACUUUCAUAAAGACUGAUUGUAGUGCUGUUAUUAAAAUUAUAUAACACAUUUGGAUCUGUCAUGGCUUAAAUUGUUGCAAUUAUUUUUUGACUAUAUGUAUAAGUUAUAGAAUAUCCUCAGAGCUUAGCUAAGGAAGUCAGAUUAUGCUCCACUUGUGUCUAUAGUCAAUAGAUGUGUGUGCAUAUUGGCAAAGCUUAUUUAUCAAAAGACUGUAAAAAUGGAUUUUCAGAUUUUUCUUACAUUGAUUAAAUUGAAGAUUCUCUGGG